UUAUGUUAUCGACUUUGCAACAAACUUUUACCCCUCCGUCACAUGACAACUCUGCCACAUGUUUUUUGUGACCAUUCCGUCACGUAAAGUACGUGAUGGAUGGGUAGAACAAACGAUGUUCUUAUGUUUUAGUUAUGCUGAAUCCGAGAUAAACUGAAAUAGAUACACUAGUUAUUACGAUACCACCAUGGCAAAAAAGGAGAGAUUAACACCAGCUGAAAGACAGCGGCGUUAUCGGGAGAAACGAAAAAAUUACCCUGAGAAGGCAGCUGAAACAAGGCGUAAGGAUUUGGAAAGAUACCAUGCUCGUAAGAAGCUAGUGGCUGACAUGAGCAUGCAAGAGCACCGAAAGAAAAAGCGAAAGUGGCAAGAAGCAAAUAAAAGAAGAAGGACGAAGAAAAUUAUGCUACUUUUAAACACGCCGGGUCCAUCACUAUUACCAGAAAUCCUACGAAUGACUCCAUCUGCAACACUAACUCCCUCUGAAGUAUCUACUCGUAGUUUAAGGGAAAGAAAGAAAGUGAAAAGAUAAAUAGAACAAAGUUACACAGAGAUAAUAUUGAGUUUCAAAAAAAAUGGACCAGUUAGAAAAUAAUAUAAUAUAUACGAUUGUUGUAUAAGAUCUGAGAUUUUGAGUAUAAGAUCAAACUAUCCAGAUAUAAACUCACAAAUCAGAAUAAAGCAGAUUUCUAAUCAACAGAGACCUUACUACGUACCUUGAAAUGACUCUGAGGUGCCAAAACUAACACAGCGCACGCUUAUAACAACUCUUAGCUACACUCUCAAAUACAUGCGCACACACACCCAUUCACACACUCACAACUACUUAAUGUCUUAUAAGACUUGUGUUUAACUAGUUGUAACGGUAAACCUACCUUUUCUCAAGAAACUGUUGUAACCAUGUUCCAUGUACAACUGAGUAAUUGUUAUCUAGUGACAACACUGAGACUCCCUAGUGAUAUAAAGUUAUAUAUCCUAUUCAACUUUUGACAAAUAAAAUUGUUAUUAGAUA